UACAGAGGUCUCAAGCGUUGUUCGGAUUCAUUGGGCGUAAAGGGUGCGUAGGUGGCGCUGUAAGUCGGGUGUGAAAUUUCGGAGCUUAACUCCGAAACUGCAUUCGAUACUGCGGUGCUUGAGGACUGGAGAGGAGACUGGAAUUCAUGGUGUAGCAGUGAAAUGCGUAGAGAUCAUGAGGAAGACCAGUGGCGAAGGCGGGUCUCUGGACAGUUCCUGGACACUGAGGCACGAAGGCCAGGGGAGCAAACGGG
rnacentral:rRNA from 1 species